GUGGGGAAUAUUGCGCAAUGGGGGAAACCCUGACGCAGCGACGCCGUGUGAGGGAAGAAGGCUUUCGGGUCGUAAACCUCUGUCAGAAAGGAAGAACCUCCCAAGUCCGAAUAGGGCUUGGGACUGACGGUACUUUCAAAGGAAGCACCGGCUAACUCCGUGCCAGUAGCCGCGGUAAUACGGAGGGUGCAAGCGUUAAUCGGAAUCACUGGGCGUAAAGCGCGCGUAGGCCGCUUUGUAAGUCGGACGUGAAAGCCCUCGGCUCAACCGGGGAACUGCGUUCGAUACUGCGAGGCUUGAGUCCUGGAGAGGGUGGCGGAAUUCCGGGUGUAGGAGUGAAAUCCGUAGAUAUCCGGAGGAACACCGGUGGCGAAGGCGGCCACCUGGACAGGUACUGACGCUGAGGCGCGAAAGCGUGGGGAGCAAACAGGAUUAGAAACCCUGGUAGUCC
rnacentral:rRNA from 1 species